ensembl:lncRNA
AUGACCUUUUCCCCUAUCAGAGGUCACUCAAAAUGUCCAAUAUAGACUAAAACAAAAGGUGAUGCCAGGAAAACACAAUAUCGUUGACGUUCUCUUAUACAAUUAUAGCAUCAGAUAUUAGGGGGGCCUUUUGCUUCUGAGGAGCAUCCUUUCACAGUUCCAUGCCUGUGAGAACACAUUUGCUUUGGUCAAGUAGAGAAUGCGAAGGCAGACGUAAUGUAUUUCUUGCUUGUUUGUGUCAUUUAUGUUUCCUUCUUAAAUGUAUGAUCAGUGCAUGUUUAUAUGGUUGCUUUCAGAGCCGGGUCUUUGUGUGCAUUUUUUUUGAAGAGCAGUAUGCUUAUUGCGUGGUAAGAGCAGUAGGGACAGUGUGACGAUGCGAAUUCAGGUCAUGCUUUAUGCACACACAGACACAUGGACUGAAGGGUGUGUGUGUGUGUGUGUGUGUGUGUGUGUGCGUGCAUCAGCUUUGAAGAGAAAGAGGAAAUGGCACCGAACAUGACCAGCCUCUGUAGAGAUGGAGUGAACACAGUGAGAAGAUUAGAGGCUGCCAUUGCACCGUGUUGCACAGAGAGGGCCGACACACACCCUUUCGCAUUUGCUAGAGGACCAUCACACCAGGACUAAUUCAUCUCUCACCAGAUCACAUUUUUCUGUAGACAGCACAGCUUGCAUUAAAAUCUUCUUUGAAACCCAUGACACAGCACCCAUAGGGAUCCAGUGAAGCGUGGCUUCUAUGGGCUUCAAUGGUGGAUUCAACCAGGCCUGGAGCGGCCAUCAGGAGCACCAGGAGACUUUCCGGUGGCCUGACAACUGAUUUGUUAUGCUUCCCUGCUGUUUUUUUUUUUUUUUUUUAAAUCUUUAUUUAAUCAAAUGUAUUAAUUAUUUUAUAUUAUUGCAUGUCCUAUGUACUCAGGUGAUCCUUUCCGACUUCAGCAUUCGAUAAUAAAUCUAUAACAAAUCAUGAAUCGCUUAGUCUUGACUUGCAGUGCUACCAUUCUCCUCAGCUCCAGUGAACGGUUUGCAAGAGAGUCAUCACUGCACAGAGCGAGGAUGGAGAGAUAGAGGCCCGAUGGAGGAGAGAGGGAAAGGCCACGCAAAAAGAAAGCCCUCUAAAAAGAAGCAGUGAAAUGUAGCAAAAUUACUGACCUGUUCAGGGCUUCAAGUGCAGGUCAGAAGUACAGGUCGUCUGUAAAUACUGUACGUUUGUGUUUGCUAACUUAGCUAAACAGGUAUUAAUC